CAUCAAGUACUUUGCCGUCAGUUAGGCUAUGUCUUUGCUGUCUUCCUCGUAUGCCCAGACGGCAAAGCAAAUAUUAUUAUUUUAAAAAAUGAAACAACACUACAAGUGCAGAGGCCAUAGAUGGCCGAAGGCGUAUGGAAAAUCUUUCACAGCGAUGACGAACGAAUGGAUUUUUACAAGACAGAAGUAUUCUAUUUACAUACUAUAUCCAUCAUCACAAUAUUUAUAGAAUAUAAUGUUCUCCAUUUAUAGGAAGAAUGAACAAACCAAACACAAAAAAAACGAUUACAAAACGGACGAACUGGCCCUUGUCAGCGUCCACAUCUGAGCACGGGCGUCGAGCUAGAGGAGGCGAAUGGUGGUGUUCCAGCGGAGUUGACCAUGGCGCCAUGGAGCCCCUAGAUUGGAGAAGUACAGGGCACAGUUAAAGCAAUAUCAGAUCCAGGGUAAUUCCAGUUUAAGACAAACUUCUCGUGCCCAGGAAGCCUACCAGAUCUAAUCGCCCUCCGCCUCAAACCCUAGAUCCGGGUGCCACAAGGAAGGAGAGCAGCCUCUGGGCCUUCUUCACGCCCGUCGCAUCGCUCAUCAUCUCUAGGAUGCUCGUCGGCAGCACCAUCGUCGCUGCCCAUGGAGCCCUCCGUAUCCCAGAGGACCUGCCAUGUUGAAGGGCAACAACAGUUGACGAGCAGGGGAGGAAGCUCCCGCGCCGGUGAGGCAGAGUCGACCAGCGGCGGUUGAGUAGCAAGGGAGGAGGAGAAGGCGCCGGGUCACGGGCGGGGAGGACGAGGAAGAUCCCACGUUGGCCUCCGGCUCAGGCAACGGAGAGGCAGGGUCGAGCGGUGGCGGUUGACGAGCAGGGGAGGAGGAGGAAGAUCCCGCGCCGGCCUCUGCUUAGACGACGGUGAGGUGGGUCGACCGGCGGCGGUUGAUGAGCAGGGGACGAGGAGGAGCUCUGGACCGGGUGAAGUGUGUGCGACAGAGAUGGGAUCGAGGGAGAGAUGAGGUCGGGCGUGUAACAAAGAUUGUGGUGGGGCCGUAGGGAUAAGAGAGAGA
rnacentral:lncRNA from 1 species